UGUAUUCCAGCUAAGAAAAUGUCAACUGAAACUCCAAAUUCUCCUGUCUAGCCAGAAUGUACUGGAAUAUUUUGCCCAGAAAAAAGUAGUUUUAUACCUGAUUGUAAGAAAGUUCACUGGCAUACAGAUCAGUUUUUCAUAUCAUAAUUAUAGGAAUGAAUUCUAAGCUCUUUAUAUGUUGUUUUGGAAAGGAGAAAUAUCUCAAUUCUGAGCUCCACAUUAGUGAUGUGGGAAGGCCGCUUCCCUUAAUAGACCUCAUAUUCUCUUUGGAAGACUAUGCUAAUGCCUGAGCCAUUUUUGUUUCUGAAAGAAACACAAAGAAGGCUGAGAGUGGCAGUGCAUGGCCAUAAUCACAGCACCCUGGGAGGCUGGGGCAGGAAGAACUCAAGUUCCAAAGUUCCAACCAAGUUUGGACAAUUUAAUGACUUGGGUUCAAGCAGAAACAGCAUCUUCAACGUACUAAACUGAAAAGGAUGCCGAUCUCCCCGUGCAGGAAUGGUGAAAACUGGCCAGGCUUUCUGUGUUCUGCCUGCAUAUGGCUGGGGCCUCCAUCCAGACCCAUUGCUGUGGAUACCAGGGCUCUAUCAGGCAUCUGGAAUUUUUCUUUGUAGUGAAGGGUCUCAAGGUUACAAGUCCGUGAAACUUGACUGUAAUGGAAAGUUUCUCAGCCUGCCUUGGCAGUGGAAAAUCAUUACCGAGAAUGCUUUGAUGUGAAGGCAAGAAGAUGUAGACCUACUAGUGUGAUCCUAUUAGGUUAUUUUCUCUACCAACCGCCGUGAGAACAUUACCACAUUUCCUUCUUCACAGUCUUUCCCAAAGACGAAGUUUUGCAGAUACAAGUGGUAUUUAAUCUUUUUUAUUAGGUCCUUAACAAAAAGCUCUGAAUAGAAAAAGUGAAUUGGUUAAAUACAGUAAGUUCCCGACUUAUGAACUUUCAAGUUGUGAACUUUCACAGAUACCAAUGGACCUCCUAUUAUGAACAUUCAUAGAUGCAAUCAAAUUGUGAAAAUAGCUCACGUGUCUGCUGGACAUGGUCACAGUUGUGGUGCUGUGUGCUUACUUACAGUGAGACAGUGCACAGUAGUACAUGUGGGAAUUCACUGUAUUUGGGUAUGUGUUUGCUUUUUUAUGCUUUAUAUUGUAUAUUUGUAUCAAAAGUAUAUAAAAUUCUCUUGGUUGGACUUAUGAACCAAUCUGAUUUAUGAAUAUUCUCCCAGAAUGGAACUCAUUAGUAAGAUGGGGACUUACUAUACAAGUUAUUCGUCAAUAGUCCCUCUGUAUAUCAGUGAACUUCAUUUAGAGACUCUCACGUGAAAUGGUUGGUACUUUUGAAUUGCAUGAAGUAUUUCCACUGAAGUAUUUCCAAGGUGAUAAGAUACUGGAAUGAUAUCCGAUAAAAUAGAAAACACAUUCUUAUCCCUUACGCAUUGUUCACUAUAAUACAAAGCAGAAGACUGAGUGAGAGUUUUGUGUCUAGGAUAGCACUAGUUCAGAGAGCAUUUUUUUUUUCCCCCGAACCAGGCAUCAAACUCAGGACCUCACACUUGCAAGGCAGGCGCAGUGGCACUGAGCUAAAUCCCUGGCUCUGGGCAUCUUUAAACUCACUGAGUAAGCAUGCUUGAAUGCUUCUAUUAUGAUACUAACACUUGCCUUUUAGUAGAGAUGAAAUUAGAUAACAGAUAUGAGAAAUAAAAAUAAAUUAUAGUAAAUUUGGUUUAUCUAUUUAUUUCUUUUUGCUUUAUUUUUUGACUUUUAUUAGUACAUAUUUGCAGUACAUAAGGAUUAUAUUCACUGUAGGGAAUUGGUAUACAUACAUGACACAUUUUAAUUUCCUCUCUUUCCCUCCUUCUACCUCCCUUUCAUUUUUCCAGCAGCAGAUUCAUUUAUUUUAUAAGAAUUUAUAAAGUUAAGCAUCAUAUAUAUAGAUUGAAAUCCAGAAUAGGCCAAAGAACAUAUGAAACAUAAAACAAUUGUACUAAGUCAAGGUGCACUUGGAGAUACACAUGUGUACUGGAUUACAAUACUAUUUUGUUUUGUUUUUUCCUUUCUCUCCUCUCUCUCUCUUUUAUUUUUGGUACCAGGGAUCGAACUCAGGACCUUGCACUUGCGAGACAGGCGCAGUGCCAGUGAGCUAAAUCCCCGGCCCUCCUUUCUCUAAAUAAAUUUGGGAAACUCAUUUCUUUUCUCUUUUCUCCUCUUCUCUUUUCUUUUCACCUACUUUUAACUCCCUCUUCUCUUCUUUUCCUCCUUCCCUUCUUCCUUUCCCCUCAUCCUCUUCCUCCUUUCUGUCUAUAAUUACUAGUUAGUACCAACCCUCCUGUGCUUUAAACCAAGGAACAUAUAGGACUUUGGAGUGACAUAUUGACUGUCUUUAAGACUUUGAAGAAGUACCAUAGCACUAAACAGAAAAACAGAUACUUCAAAGAUAUAUUUUACAAGCAUAUUAAAUCAAAGUCAUUUACAUUUUUUCAUUUUUAAUUGUACAAAUUAAAUAUGAUAUACAUAUGAAUUCUUUUUUUAGAUAUAAUUGGUUUUGCAAUUGCUUAAGUCUAUAAAGAAAAAAUAUUCUUUCAAAUAGUUUGAUUGAUCACAGAAAAUGAUGUUAGGCUCUUAGUAUAACUUGUUCUUUAUUAUUUGGCUCUCAUCACAGAAAAAGAAUGAUACAAUAUAUGGGUGGAAAUUUACCCUUAUGGUUAAGGAAUGUAAAUAAAGUAGCAAUGUAAUAAUAUGGUCCAGCUGUGCUUUAGGGAUAAGCAGAGGCCCCAGUUGUGAUGUGACAUUUGAAAUAUUUUUCACAACAGAUUUUUUCCAGCUGAAAUUUGUCGUCUUCAUAUACAAGACCCACCAAGUUACAAAAAUUUACAAAGAUGUUAUAAUUUUUAAGCAGACAGAAUUCAUGAGUUAGAAAUUGUUCAGAAACCAGCACUCUUUUCCUCCCACAUAAUCCAAAAGAACUAUAAGGAAUGAUAUUCCUCUGAGAGAGAGAGAGAGAGAGAGAGAGAGAGAGAGAGAGAUUUACAGAGAGCAGAGAGAGGAAUGCUGAAACUCAUGCAGAAAUCGUUUUGUAGAUAUACAUAGAGAGAGAUGUGUAUGUGCUUGUGUGUAAAAUGAACACGUACAUGUGUAUGCAUGUAAAUUUGUGCGCAUUGAAGUAUGAAGUACUAUGAAUAGUUUCAGGUUACAAAAAAGUUGCCCAGAAAGUUAUUGCAGACUUUAUUUUCCCCUCAUAAUUUCUUCUGCUAUUAACAUGGAUUUUAACAAAUGUGUAUUGUCAUGUAUUCACCAUUAUGAUAUCAUACAGGAUAGUUUCAAAAUAUGAAAAUUGCCCUUUGAAUACAGAAAUCACAUCACCUAUUGAACCCUACUUUCAUUCUACUUACUUUCAGAAUUCAUUAAUGUUUUUACUGUGUCUAUAGUAUUUUCUUUUUCAGGCUGUCAUAUAGUUGGAAUCAGAUAGUAUAUAGUCAUUUCAAACUAGUUUCCUUCUCUGAGCAACACGUAUUUCUCCGUGUCUAUUUUUGGUUUGAUAGCUUUCUUUUUAUUGUUGGCAAAUAUUCCUUUGUAUGUAUGGGCCAUACUUUGCUUAUGCAUUACUCUACUGAAGGGGAUUUGGCUGCUUUUAAAAUUUGACAUUUAUGAAUGUAACUAGCAUAUACAGUUUUAUAUGCAUAUACAGAUUUAUAUGUACAAUAUUUUGGGGGCAUAAAAUUUCAAUUCAUUUGAGUAAAUGCUAGUAAAUAACUACUAGAUUGUUUAUUGAGCCUGUUUAGCUUUGUAAAAGUCAGCCAAAGGGUCCUACAAAGUUGUAAUAUUUUGCAUUCCUACAAGCAAUGAAUUAGAGUUAUUGAAACAUAUGUUGUUGUUUUAAGAAAAGUAAUCUAAAAUUUAGUUUAUUAGUAUGAAUAAUCAAUUAGAUAAUCAUUAAUUCAUUUACUCUUCAUAGCAUAGGAAUGGAUAUUUAUAUAUUAAGAAAAAAACAUUUGAUAUGUGCAUGUUCAAUUGGA